UUAUAAGCAUUGACGGGAUUCUAAGUAGUGCUUCUAUCUCUGUUUCAGAAAGCUGACGGCUGCUGCGAGUCAGUACAUGUAGAAGGAUGAAUUACCUCCCUGAGCUUUCACUGUCAACUUGCAUUCGCAAUAGUAGCAGUGGACGGUAAUCCGUUAUCAUGUAAGAGUGGAGGAUUUAUAUGUCCUCAAUUUGGGUGGUACCGCGCAAAUAAAUAUGCGUCCCUGCA
rnacentral:ncRNA from 1 species